rnacentral:rRNA from 1 species
GAUGAACGCUGGCGGCGUGCCUAAUACAUGCAAGUCGAACGAAGGUUUUGUAUUCGUACAGAAUCUUAGUGGCGAACGGGUGAGUAACGCGUUGGUGACCUGCCCCGAAGUGGGGGAUAACAGCUCGAAAGGGCUGCUAAUACCCCAUGUGAUCCUCUGGACUAGAUGCCAGAUGCUUAAAGGGAUUUAUCUCGCUUCGGGAGGGGCCUGCGUCCCAUCAGCUAGUUGGUAGGGUAAUGGCCUACCAAGGCGAUGACGGGUAGGGGGCCUGAGAGGGUGACCCCCCACACUGACACUGAAACACGGGUCAGACACCUAUGGGUGGCAG